CCUACGGGGGGCUGCAGUGGGGAAUUUUGGACAAUGGGGGCAACCCUGAUCCAGCCAUGCCGCGUGCGGGAAGAAGGCCUUCGGGUUGUAAACCGCUUUUGUCAGGGAAGAAAUCUUCCGAGCUAAUACCUUGGGAGGAUGACGGUACCUGAAGAAUAAGCACCGGCUAACUACGUGCCAGCAGCCGCGGUAAUACGUAGGGUACAAACGUUAAUCGGAAUUACUGGAGGCAAUUGUGGAAGAGAGGGUUGAAAGCCCCGGGCGUAACCUGGGAACUGCACGUGUGACUGUACGGCUGGAGUACGGCAGAGGGGGAUGGAAUUCCGCGUGUAGCAGUGAAAUGCGUAGAUAUGCGGAGGAACACCGAUGGCGAAGGCAGUCCCCUGGGCCUGUACUGACGCUCAUGCACGAAAGCGUGGGGAGCAAACAGGAUUAGAUACCCCGGUAGUC
rnacentral:rRNA from 1 species